rnacentral:rRNA from 1 species
UACGUAGGGUGCGAGCGUUAAUCGGAAUUACUGGGCGUAAAGCGUGCGCAGGCGGUGAUGUAAGACAGAUGUGAAAUCCCCGGGCUCAACCUGGGAACUGCAUUUGUGACUGCAUCGCUGGAGUGCGGCAGAGGGGAUGGAAUCCGCGUGUAGCAGUGAAAUGCGUAGAUAUGCGGAGGAACACCGAUGGCGAAGGCAAUCCCCUGGGCCUGCACUGACGCUCAUGCACGAAGCGUGGG